rnacentral:rRNA from 1 species
GAUGAACGCUGGCGGCGUGCCUAAUACAUGCAAGUCGAGCGAACAGACGAGGAGCUUGCUCCUCUGACGUUAGCGUCGGACGGGUGAGUAACACGCAGAUAACCCUCCUAUAAGACUGGGAUAACUUCGGGAAACCGGAGCUAAUACCGGAUAAUAUAUUGAACCGCAUGGUUCAAUAGUGAAAGACGGUUUUGCUGUCACUUAUAGAUGGAUCCGUGCCGGAUUAGCUAGUUGGUAAGGUAACGGCUUACCAAGGCAACGAUGCGUAGCCGACCUGAGAGGGUGAUCAGCCACACUGGAACUGAGACACGGUCCAGACUCCUACGGGAGGCAGCAGUGGGGAAUCUUCCGCAAUGGGCGAAAGCCUGACGGAGCAAUGCCGCGUGAGUGAUGAAGGUCUUCGGAUCGUAAAACUCUGUUAUUAGGAAAGAACAAAUGUGUAAGUAACUAUGCACGUCUUGACGGUACCUAAACAGAAAGCCACGGCUAACUACGUG